UCUAAAGGAGAGAAUGAACUUUGUGGAUUACAUGUUAAUUACUGCACCAAACUCAUUGUGCCAAGUGCUUGGGCUUAAGCAAAAGUUAUCUGCCAUCUUCUCCCCUUCCUGUGUUCAUCUGUCUUUCCUUAUCUGUGUUCUUUUUUCCUCUCUCUCUAUUUGGUGGCAUGCUCAGUUUUCAGUCACUUUACCUUGGCAUCACUAACAAACCUACUUUUUUUUUCUCCCACAUCCAGGCUGUUCAUCCAACACAUUUCAAAAUUCUGUUAUUUCUUCCUGUUCCUGUCCUUAAAAGCUGUCACUUCCCCUCUGUUCCUGAAGCCAAAAACCUCAUCCUAAUAUCUUUAUCUACAGCAACAUGUUCUCUUCUACUCAACAUUUAUUCUGUGGUUUACUUUACAAGCCACAUAAAUUAGAAAAAUUCCUGUUUUCCUUUCAAGGUGAUUGCCCAUCUUACAUUAAGUUAUUUCUGACUUGAGGAAGCUGAGUUCCUUUUGAUUCACCCUGCUGCUCUUCUUUCUGCCUGUUCACACGGAAACCUGCCCAAUUUACUUCUCCACAUUGUUUUCAAUUGCAGACAUUAUUUGUUUGUAAUUCCUUUCAUCCAAGUUGAGAAAACUCAAACCUUACCCUUGUGAAUCAAUCAGGAUAGGAUAGGAAGUGCUGUGGUGACAAGUAAGCCCUGAAUUUUAGAGGUUCACAACAAAGGAUAAUUUUUAUUCAACACCAUUCUCAGGUGUUGAGACCACUGCCUAGGUAGUCUGUGGUGCCUUUACUUUAGGUCCAAGAUGGGCAGAGCAGUGUCUGGAAAGAACAUUACAGGUUUUGGCAGAAACUAUGUGCUGAGUUAUUAAACUGUCUGCUUGGAACUGACAAGGGCCAAUUCUGUUUACAUCUUGUGAAAUUUAGUCCCAUGACAAUGCUCUAGUUGCAUAGGGUGAGGAUAUGUGUUUCCUGCUGGUUUGCUGAAAUCUUGAGCUCCAUCCUCUUUGGUCAACAGUAAUAUAAUCUUCCCUUCCUUCACAGUCACUGCCACCACCACCAAAAUUUUGCAUUUUGUCCAAGAAAAUUCAGUUGACCUGGAAAUAAGAAAGGUUUCAUCUGUCACCAUCUCUCCGAAAUGAGGUUGUCAGUUUGAAGCAACACUCUGGCAAACUGUAAGUCUGUGUGGCAGAAGCAGGGCAAAAUCUAUCUUGGAAAUGUGAGUUCCAGAAGGAUGGAUAAGAAUAAUGACAAGAAUCUGCUGUAGCUUCUUCAGUGCAGUUAUAUACACAUGCACUAUUGUUCCUAAAUUAUUUUUCCUUCAGAUAGAAGAGGGAGUAAUAUAGUGUGUGAAUGCUACCUGCUUAAAAUAAGAAGUAAACGAAAAGAAACAAUUAGCAAAUGCAUUAGACAGGGUACCACUGGGGGAGAAAAUGACUGAUUUCAGGACCCUUCUCUGAAAUACAAGAGAGAGAACUGACGUGAGAUUCAAAGAUUUGCCACUCACAAUUGAAUUUGAACACUCUCAAGAUGAUCAGCAGGAGAAGUACAUAUUCCUCGAGCUGGAUCUAUCUACACGUGCACCUGUCCCAGGAAGCUGAAGUGGGAGAUCUGAUGAGCAGUGGAGGACUGAACUAAAGCCUUUGACUUUUGCUCUAUACCAAUCAGAUAAAAACUGCAGUGAGAAACAAGCAUCCUCUCUAUCCAAUUGAAAGGAGGAUUGAGGAAUUCCUGUGUGGCUUGAAGGCACAAUAAAAUGGUGUCAAAACACGAGUUAAGAGAGCAGCCAGCAGCUGAAGGAAAAGAACAUCCAAAGAUCUCAUUACCUUUUCUGUCUCUCUAUCCCAUCAUCUAUGUAAAUGUAGCCCUCAUUGGCUGGAAUCAUAAUGACAUCUGCAUCUGGAAGUGGCCACCCACAAAACACAUGACAGACUUCAGACCACAUGAAAAGUCUACAGGGUGAGAAUAUGAAAAUCCAGCAAUGAGAAGAAAAAAAGAGUUAUCUCCCACGAAGAACACUUUCCAGAAGCUACACAAUUCCAGUUAUUGAUUCAUCCCAUUUACUAGAAUCUGUUUAUCUUGCUAUGCCUAAAAGCAAGGGAAACUGAAAUAGAUGCUAUCAUAUUCUGUAACUCAAGCUUAGCCUAGCUUCAGAAGUUUUAAUAAAGAAAAUAUAUUGAAAUAUUUUAUGGUAGCUAUUCACUUCCAAAUACAUAAUUUUUGUUUCAGCUCAAUUUUUAAAUUUUAAUAUCAUAUCACACUCCUUCAUAUAGGUUUAGAUAUAAUUUUAACUUCUUUCUAAGGGACAUUGUUUCCUAUAAUUAAAGCAGUUCAACUAUCUGCUAAGUCAUUGCUUUCCUAUUACAAGCUAUUUUGAUUACAGUAAACCUGUGCAAAACAUUAGGAUGCUUUAGCAAUAAUUAAACACCAAUGAAUACUUUCUUAGUUUUACAUGGUGAGCAAAACAAGUAUGGCCCCAUAGUCUCAUCUCAGUUUCCAUGAGUCACUAUUAAUUCAGGUAUAAAAUAUAGAAAACACAUAUACUGAAAUUUUUUAUUUCCCCAAAUGGAAGAUAAAUUAGACAGCAAUGUUGAGUUAUGAUCUCCAAACCCCAAAUUUCUGUGCUUUCCACAUAAUAAAUCCAAACUGAGAGGUAUAUAACAGCCCAAGAACUGAAUAUGAACACCAGCCUCAAGAGCAGAACAUUGACUAUCAGGACAAAAACUCCAAAAUGCACUGGGGGGGGCUUGUGGACACAGGAGGUCUUUUAGGGAGUGAGCAUCAUCAUGACAGGCUUGGCAUGCUAAGACAUUUCUGUAUCCUAUUUUACUCCCUCAUUAAGGAGAAAUCAAAUUCCUAUUCUGACUGAGAUUUUCACACAGUUCGGAGAGAAUUAAAACCAAAUUUUGGUGCUCUUUUUAUGAAAAACUCUGAGCCUCAGUAAUAUAUUAUGAAACAAGAUAAAAUGAUUAGAUUCAUAAAUAAUUUUGGAAGGCCAGACAAAGUGAUGUUUAAUAACCCAACUGAGUGGUAGUGGAUAACAAAAUACAAUAUCACCAUUAAGAAAUAGGCCCAAUUAAAUAUCUCUUUUUAUUUCCUUAGUAGAAGUAGCAGUGGUAGUAAUAUUGUUAGUAUAGUGCUUUAUGGCAAUCAAAGUCAGCAUGAUAAAAUCAUUCUUACUGUAUAGCUUGUCUUUUUAUUUGAAUCCUUAUUUUUAAUUUUAGGUAUCAAGUAAAUGUGUUAUUUCUGAGGCCUCUCUUCUGUUCCAUUUACUUCCUAUUCACUGGGAAUUACUUCCUAUUCAAACGCUGCACUUAUCAUAAUAAUAAAAUGUUUACUUAAUUAUC